CUUGGCUGUUAAAAAGCGGUCUAGACUUCAAAUAAAAAACAGUGAUAAAUAAACUAUAUUUUAUCCGCACUUCAACUCCCAUGCUGCAGUGCUCUGAAAACAAAGAAAUCACCCCCUUCACUGCUUAUUAUCUUCUCAUCCGGCCAAAGAUCCAAUCCCCCUUCAGACUUCAUACCAAUGUACUGUUCCUCUUCCACACAGAGCAAAUCACUUCAGAUUAGCUUUCGGCGACCUGCUGGGCUAUGAUUCUCGCUGGAUCUGCUCAAUAUCUUGCGCCAAGGAGGGCACGCGGUGGCGCUGUCGCACGGAGAUGCCGGCACAGGCGAGUUGCCGCGAGGUCAACCAAGUAGCCGUCGACCUGCGUGGAUUAGCGCGGCGUGACAAACACUAAGGAGUGGAAGCUGGGUGCAUUAGUGCCGCAAGUAGCAACGCAGGUAUUGGAGGCUUCUAUAAUAUCGUAUCUUAGAAGAGUUCUGAUUCAUUACCUCAUCUGUUGGGUUGUCAUGCCUAAUUUCAGUAAGUUCUUUUAAGGUUAUCCUUCUGUAAAACAUUUGAUCUUCUAGUGUCCCUUGAGUACUUUUAUCUAUAUCCAUCAUUUUUGGUAAAGUUU